UGGGGAAUAUUGCACAAUGGGGGGAACCCUGAUGCAGCCAUGCCGCGUGAAUGAAGAAGGCCUUCGGGUUGUAAAGUUCUUUCGGUGACGAGGAAGGUUGGUAGGUUAAUAGCCUAUCAAAUUGACGUUAAUCACAGAAGAAGCACCGGCUAACUCCGUGCCAGCAGCCGCGGUAAUACGGGGGGUGCGAGCGUUAAUCGGAAUAACUGGGCGUAAAGGGCACGCAGGCGGUGACUUAAGUGAGAUGUGAAAGCCCCGAGCUUAACUUGGGAAUUGCAUUUCAUACUGGGUCGCUAGAGUACUUUAGGGAGGGGUAGAAUUCCACGUGUAGCGGUGAAAUGCGUAGAGAUGUGGAGGAAUACCGAAGGCGAAGGCAGCCCCUUGGGAAUGUACUGACGCUCAUGUGCGAAAGCGUGGGGAGCAAACAGGAUUAGAUACCCUGGUAGUCCACGCCGUAAACGAUGAGUGCUAGGUGUUAGACCCUUUCCGGGGUUUAGUGCCGUAGCUAACGCAUUAAGCACUCCGCCUGGGGAGUACGACCGCAAGGUUG
rnacentral:rRNA from 1 species